rnacentral:lncRNA from 1 species
UUUGAUACAUGGGGGUUGUGCGGGGCGGGGGGCAGGGGACCCGCCCUCUCUCCAAACACUAGCAGGGCCGGGGCGCCUGGGCAGGCACGUGUCCGGGCACAACCCGCUGCCCACGCUGCCCCCCCACUCCCGCCCCCCCCGCUCUGGCCAGGACACGUCGCUCUCUUACUUGGGUGGGGUGGGAGGAGGGGAGAGAAAGCUGGAAAUGGAAAGCAGCGCCCCCCACCCCUUUGAAUGGCCAACCUCGGCCAGCGGUGCGCACUAGGUUUCUACCACACAGCGACCCCCACUCUGCUCAGGGCAGGUGCGCCGGCGGCGGCGGCAAGACCGCUGGAGUCUUACUAUAUCGCUCAUGCUGUUCUCCACCUCCCGGGAUCAAACCGCCCACAUCAGCUUCCAGAAUCAAAGGGAAGAUAGAUGUGUGUGUGCUACCCGCCUGGCAAGCCCUAAAGUUGAGAUGUGGAAACGUGGGUGCACUGAAUGUCUGUUCUACUGAGUGUUCUAAGAGUGUUGUCCUUCUGACCUUGGGAUGAAUCGCUUCCCUUUUUGGGCCUGUUUGUUCAAGUUAAUGUGAAAUAAUUCCCUUUAACGUUAGUUAUCUUUCCUG